UUUUAUGAUAUUGGCUAUCUAACUUGCAGGCAUAUUUCGACAGAUAAAGAUACAAAGAGAGACUCGAAUCGAAUAUAACUAUUUAAUGAAAUCCGGAUCAGAUCUUCAAUAUAAGUGAGAAUUUACUAAUCUUUCAAACACAUAAGAAAAUCAAAAGCAAGCAAACCCUAAAUCAAAAACGAAGAGCAUGUAUACCGUGCUCAUCAAAUUCUUCCCUCUGGCGCUUUGACUGCUUGGGGCUUUUUCUCUCGUUGUCCACGGCGACUUCAUCCACUCGGCGUUUCGCCGGGAAAUCCAAUUUCAGGUUCCGGAUCGGGACGUCGGUCAUGGUUAUCGUGCUGCUCGGGUUCAACUCAUCAAUCUCAUUCUAGAGGCAUGUGGCAUGCAAUUUCCUAUCAAAGACAAGGACUUGAAGGUGUGGUAUCCUAUAAGGGAAAAGUAUAUAGAUAACCAACUAAAGCUUGAAGAUGUUAGAAGGAAGUUAGAGACUGUGAAAGUCUACACAAGGAGUUUCCAAACAUCGAAGUGGUUGUUCGAUCAUUUUGUGACACUUUGAUUCGGCGGUCUCAGAAUACGCCAUUCAUUGAUGACAUCUUGAAGGACUUCAUGGACUACAUGAUUACCUUUUCAUGCCAUCUCCCAGUUGGAUACAAUAAGACUGUCAUUUGGAUGACUUUCCAGACUAUAUACGAACAGAACAAAUUGAUAACCGCGUGGAGCAUUUGGAGCAGAAAGCAAUUAAGUUUUAUCCAGGGACAAAGACCAGGAAAUUCGGGACUUGUGUACAUGGGAGCUAACCUUAUGGAGGACUUUAUACCCAUCAAUGUUCUCAGCAAAUGUAUACUCUGAUGAUCUACAAGCUUGCAUCCUUACCCUUUUGAAAUAGUCUAGUCAUCAGAUGAUCAAUAAGAUCAAUAAUUUUGUGGAUGUAUGCCUGUAGGGCGUUGUAGGACUAACUAAUAUUCUGAAAAGCAA